CGUACAAUUAAGAAACAUUAAAAAAUAGUAGAAAUACUGGAGUCAUGAUGAUCAUGAUGAAGUCUGCUGGUGAGAAACAUUUAUGCACGUGCUGUCCUCCAUAAUUCAAAGAGAUUGAAGGAUAAGUUUAUAGGAUGACAAAACGUGGCAGGAGCACUUGGAACUAAAAAUUAAUCCCUUCUGGGAGAAAACAGCACCUGUUCUUUCCGCACUGUUCUCCAGCAGUUUAAGGACUAAGUUAGCCAGAACAUAACGUGUGUUAUGUGCAUUUCAGUGCUUUACACCCUGGUGAACAUCGUCUCAUUUCUAUAUACAUUAUAUGGUUAUAUCUGUUAUAUACACAUACAUAGUUAACUGACAAUAAACUUGACUUCACUUGACUUGAAAAGUAGUCACAAGGGACAGCAUGAAUUGGAGAGCUCUUUCAAUGGGAGCAGAGCUAUAAAUAGAUGAAUGGCCUUUUCCACUGCUGUUUGAUGGGAAAUUCUCUAACAUAAUUUUUCACCUGACUUUGGAACUGGUGUGCAAGUGUUCUGGAAAUCUCAAUCUGAACAUUGUUACGAUAUGGCAACAAUGAAUAUAGAAUUGAGACAGGUUUUUUUAUAUAACAAAUAAAACAUUUAUUAAACACUGCUCAAAAAAACCCCAAAAGUAAACAAACGGCUAACUUAACCAUCAGCUGCUAUACGAAAGCUUGAACAGUCCUUAAAUGAGAAAUGCGAGUACAGUUCUUUAAAGUAGUAGAUGCAAAAGUCCAAAAGAUUUAUACAGUCAGUUAGGAGAGACUUUCCUUGAAGUAAUAAAUUCUCUAAUGUGCGUUACUGCUGAUCCCAGCUGAAAUAUGCCUUGCCCGAAGGAUUUACGAUGAAGGAAAUAAAACGGCUUAAAGGCACUGACCUUUCCUUGGUGAAACCCUGCAUCCAGCUCUUUCUGCUCUUUCAGCAAUGCAGGAGCUAUCUUGGAUUGCAGAUUACUAAUUCCUUCCGAACGAGGAUCAAAUAAGGUUGAACCUGUUUUACCACUGACAACACCAACUUUUCUCAAUCCUUUGGGUUUUCCGAACUUCGAUAAUUCUUCACUCUCCGACUGGACUUUAAUUGACGGUGAUUUUCAGAACUGCCAGCACAACGAUUCUCACAGUAAAAAUUAAAACUCCAUUUUAAAAUGAAACUGCAUCAUAAAAUCAAAUAUGCAGCAGAACAGAGUCACUGAUGAAUUAAACCACAAACCGACCUGUGUCACAGGGAGGAAUUCUCCUUUUAUACCCUGUUGAAAGAGGCUAUCACAUGACCUCUCACUGGUGGGAAAAUUACAUCACUCCACCAUCACAAGACCAUUACAUCAUGCCCAGCAGAGCCUCAAUUACAUCAUGGUCAUGUGACAGUCACAAGAUACCCACAGCUAUGUAAUGUAAAGGGGGUUUCUACUUUUUCUUUGUUACUGCAUAAUGUUAAUCAAAAUGGCUUCUUUGUUUUGUUAAAAGUAGGAAUGCUUCUUUGUUAUGAGAGAGUGCUGGAAGCUUGUUUGGGUUAAAAUUUACUGAUAACGAGUAUUGUAUUCCUUUGUUAACCAAUUGAGAUUAAUGUUGUUCAUUCUUCUGAGCCUGUAAGCUAUUGUUGGCAGCCAUUUUGGGUGAGUCGGUGUGAUGGGGUGAGAGAGAGAGGACGCAAUGCUGUAAGCUGGGUGAGGAAUGGACCCCAAGCAGGGGUCCAAGGCCAGGAGGUACCACAAGGAGAGGAGACGAGGAUAGAUGUGCUUGGUUACCCACUUCGGGUGGUCCUGAGCUGCGAGUCGAGGAGUUCGGAGGGGAUCGAAUGGUGGCCAGAAGACUUCGGUAAUUGAGCUCCAGUGGUUGUGCAUGAACUGGUUUGGACUUUGAUAAGUUUGGUGCCUUUUCUUUAUUUUCUUUUCCACCAUAUAUACUGUAUUGUUAUUAAUCACUUAGUUCUAGUAAUCUUUAUAAAUUGUAAUCAUUUAAUCGCAUAUGGUGUACUGUCUGUUUUUGGGCGAGGCGGGGACAUCACACAGCAUCCACACCAGCGGAUUACCCAGUUUGGCGGGGCCGAAGGCUGCUCCCCCUAGACGAGAACUAGCUGAGUGAGGCUGAGGCGACCCAGGGGUUACAUUGUGGGGGCUCGUCCGGAUUGAUUUCUGUGGAAGCUGUGUGAUCGCCCUCUUUAAAUUAUGUCUGCAGAGAAGAGCUGGUGUGUCUUUGCGGGUUAUUGCUGCACGUGUGUUGGGUGGGGUGGUGUUGGCUGUUGUUGUUCGAGUUCAGACUAGCGCUGACGAAAUGGUGGUGGGACCAUGGGUUGUCCUUACUGUUCGGAGAGUGAGGAAUAUCAGGUUGGGAUGUUUCAGCAGUGGUUGUUGGAAUAAUGUCCAGUCCUAAAGGGGUGGAAGCGUGGGCGGAGUGGACCUCUCAGUUGUUGGGUGAGUGGCAGUGUUUGGCUGAGGGAAAGCGACAGGGAUUGAUUGAAAGUUUGAGUAGGUGGGCUGGUGACAUUGAUAGAACUGUCGGGUACAAUUACCUCGAAGUGACAGCUGCCAGUUAUGGGAAAGCGGGGGAAAAUGCAUUUGGUUCGACUGGAAGUCAAAUGCCUCAGCUGGGAGGUUCAUCAUAUCUGUGGCAGGAGAUUGGUGGAAAAUUUUCAGGGUAUCUUCUUUGGCUAGGGGGGCAGUUAAAUUGCUUGCAGUGCCAGGGGUAUCUGUCAAGGGGAUCAGCUCCUACCUCUGUUGUUUAGUUGAUUCGAGAGGAGUCGGGAAACUUAGAGGAGGCCCAGUGGGGGAAUGGCUUGGGGUCUCUGGGGGAGCACAUUCCCAGCAAUGUACCAAGGAACUCCCGAAAGGAACAGACCCUAUUCCUGAAGGCUUAGAGGGACCACGCACUCGGGUGUCGUUACGGAUGGAUGGAAGCCAUGCUAAAGCCAUCCUCGACACCGGGGCGCAGGUCAAGUUGCUGUACAGUUCAUUUUACAACCGUUAUUGGAAGCAUUUACCCUUGACGACAUUGCGGGCACUGGAGAUUUGAAGUUCCAGUCCCGGUAAUUAUCCAGAUGUCGGUUAUUGGUCAGUGAAAAUGGAGUUCUCAGAGGCCAAUGUGAGGUUUGUGAAUCGUUAAUGCUGAUGUGUCCGGAUACUGUUGAGACGGGAAGCAUUUCGGUUCUGGAGAGGACCAAUACCCUGCUGAUGCACUUGGGGGCCUGUCGGAGGAGGCGGGUGAGCGUUGUUUGGAGGCAUUGUCGAUGCACCCAGAGUUUCGAGCUGCUAGUGCGGAUGUGUGUAGCAGCAUUGGGCCAGUACCGAAUUCAAACAAGAGCCGGUGGUGGUACGGCCUGGGGGUGUAUCUGAGGGUGAGACCCUUUUAGUGGAUGCUGCAAAAUACCACAAGUGAGGGGAGUUGACUGCUGAAGACACCUCAGUGAGAGAGAGGUUGUGGCGACAGGCGUGGAAGAUGUAGGCAGCGUGUGUGUGGAUUAUAUUGCGCUGAAGAGGCAUUGACCAGAAUACGGCCCUGAGGGCUGAUGAGGCAAUGGCCUGUCUGAAUGGUGCGAAGUGGUUUAAGGUGCUGGAUCUGAGGAGUGGAUGUUGCCAGAUCCCGAUGAGUGGGGCCGACAAGGAGAAGACGGCCGUUAUAGGUCCCCUAGGAUUCUUCCAGUCCGAAAAAAUGCCACGGGCCAUAUCUGGAGCCCUUGCAAACUUCCCGCGGGGCAUGGGGAAUACCAGGGGGGAUGUGGAGGUGUUUGGAGCUUUGGUGGAUGUGGAUGAUCUCCUGGUAUUUGGAUUUGCCUCGGAAGAAUAUGAAGCGCGGCUGUUGCAGGAGUGGCUGAGAACUAAAGAGUUAAAGUGUUCUCUGGACUCGUGCCAGGACUGUCGAAGGUCGCAGCUCAUGAGUGACUGUCUCUACGGGAUCAAGUUUGAAGUGGAGACAGAGAGGCCGAAUUCUCAGCAGAGACCGGAGCAAGUGAUCCGGAACCAGUUGGAAGACUUACAAGUUGAGGAAGACAAAGGAAGUUCUCUGACUAAGGGCAACAGAAAUCCGAGAGCCCCGAAAGGGGAGUUUGAGGAGGUGAAGCAAUUGCAGACGGAUCUCGGAAGAGGGAAGCGUAAGCUGGAAGGGAACCUGAAGAUGACCAUCGACGGUCUAAACAAGGUGCAAAGCCUGAAAGUUGAUCUGGAAGAAGUCAUGAGGAAGAAAAAGCUGGAGAUAAGUGCAGUGAAUACUGGACUGGAGGCUGACCAAUCUCUAGCUGCUGCUUUUCAGGUCGGGGUGGAAGAAGCCGUUGGAGUAACAGCAACCCAGAUUGAGAUGAGCGGGACGCAUGAGUCAGAACUGCUGAGCCUGUGGCGAGAGUUGGGGGUGGCAGAGAAGAAGCUGAUCUCUCGAUUGCAGGAGGCUGAAGAGACUGCAGGAGCAGUGCAGGCCACGUGUUUCCGUUCGGAGAAGAUCAAACAGCAGCUACCAAUCGCAGAAGUGAGGAAGAAUACGGAUUCGAAGGAUGAUGUGCUGGAUGUGUGGUUGGAUCAGUCCAGAAGGGAUAUGAGGUGCUGUUCCUCUCCUUCCAUGGAUGCAGCCUGACCCACAGUGUUCCUUCAGUGCUUGAUUCCCCCACCUGAGGACAAGUUAUGGUGGCUAGUUCAUCGACCAACUUGCCCGUCUUUGGGAUGAAGAAGGAAACCAAAGCAUAUGGCGGAAGCCAAUGCGAUCACAGGGAGAAUGUCUGAAUUCCCCACAGAUAGUUACAAGACAGUUACCCAGGAGCCUAAAUUCUUCAUUGCAGUGUCACAACCUGGCAUGUGGCUUAGUAUGGAGCGAGACCUCAAUACGUUAACGUGAAAAGAGCAAGGCAAUGUAAGUACUACUCUGUUUUUAUGUAAUUGAAGGGUAAAUUUGUUUACAGGGUUUCAAAUUCAUUAAAAAAAUUUGCUUUUGGUUUGCAUAGCUUGGAACCAAAUCACAUUGUUUAAACUUGUUGCUGCCAACUGAGCUGAAUGCUUGAUCCACAUUUGCAUUAACACGUCACACCUGAGUUACCUGCUUCCGCUCCUGCCUCAGUGCAUCCAUAGAUUUAUUGCCAUUAGUCAAACACUGUAUAAUUCAGUCACCUUAACUUCAAUUCUGGAAAAUUCAAGUCAUUCAAAAAUUCUGUUGCUUGCGUUGCAGUUCAUGCCAAUUACUUGAAGGCUGAAGCUAGACCCCAGUUCCUGACCUUACCCUGCUAUACUUCUGUCAUUUACUUCAGCAGUAUAAAAUAAUUUAUUUUAUUAGAUAAUUAACGGUUUAUUUGUUCUAGCCACAGCAUUUCCAAACUAAUUCACUCCACCUUUGUUGUCCAUGCCUUCAGCUAUCAAGACUCAAAGUUCUGAUACUUACUCUCUAAACUUGUCUCUCUGACCGAGUCUUCCGCCAUGUUAUAACUUUUGCGGUUCAAUAUCAUUGCUUUCAGAUAGGUUAAGAGAGUUGUCCAUGGAGGCCAUUGUUGCUAUUGCUGUUAGACCACUUCCUCCCCCACCCCCCAGUACACCCACUUCUUGAAA